GAACAAAAUAAAAGGCUCGAAAUUCAUUUCAAGCCGAGCUUGAGUAUUACUCGGCUCGUUCGAAUUAGGCUCGAAAAGCUCGAAAAGCUCGAAAAUAUAUAUAUAUAUAUAUAUAUAGACUAGAAUACUAUUAAUAGUAAAACGCUCUUUUUGCUAUCAAGUUUUUAACCCUUGGAUGAAAAAUUAUAGGGUCAGGAUGAUAUUAGUCGGUUAGAGUUGAGUGGUUCUCCUAGGGUUAAGUGGUCUCCACUGGGUUAUAGUAUUUAAUCCAAUGGUUAGAAAUAAUGAAAAGAGUUGAUCCAAAGGCUAAAAAACUGGUAGCAACAAUAGGAUUUUGCUACUAAUAGUAGCCCAGUCCAACUCUCUCUCUCUCUCUCUCUCUAUAU
rnacentral:lncRNA from 1 species